rnacentral:tRNA from 1 species
GGUUGUGGCUCAGUGGUAGAGUGCUUGCUUAGCAUGCAUGAAACACUGAGUUCAAUCCCCAGCACCA